rnacentral:rRNA from 1 species
GGGAGGUGGGCAACUACCACCCAGGGCCGGAAAGCUCUCCAAACUCGGUCAUUUAGAGGAAGUAAAAGUCGUAACAAGGUCUCCGUUGGUGAACCAGCGGAGGGAUCAUUA